rnacentral:rRNA from 1 species
UGGGGAAUAUUGCGCAAUGGGCGGAAGCCUGACGCAGCGACGCCGCGUGGGGGAUGAAGGCCUUCGGGUUGUAAACCUCUUUCAGCGGGGACGAAGCCUCCUUGUGGGGUUACUGUACCCGCAGAAGAAGCACCGGCUAACUACGUGCCAGCAGCCGCGGUAAUACGUAGGGUGCAAGCGUUGUCCGGAAUUAUUGGGCGUAAAGAGCUCGUAGGCGGUUUGUCGCGUCGGAUGUGAAAACCCGGGGCUUAACCUUGGGCCUGCAUUCGAUACGGGCUGACUAGAGUUCGGCAGGGGAGACUGGAAUUCCUGGUGUAGCGGUGAAAUGCGCAGAUAUCAGGAGGAACACCGGUGGCGAAGGCGGGUCUCUGGGCCGAUACUGACGCUGAGGAGCGAAAGCGUGGGGAGCGAACAG